rnacentral:rRNA from 1 species
CAGCCGCCGCGGGAAUACAGAGGGUGCGAGCGUUAAUCGGAUUUACUGGGCGUAAAGCGUGCGUAGGCGGCUUCUUAAGUCGGAUGUGAAAUCCCUGAGCUUAACUUAGGAAUUGCAUUCGAUACUGGGAAGCUAGAGUAUGGGAGAGGAUGGUAGAAUUCCAGGUGUAGCGGUGAAAUGCGUAGAGAUCUGGAGGAAUACCGAUGGCGAAGGCAGCCAUCUGGCCUAAUACUGACGCUGAGGUACGAAAGCAUGGGGAGCAAACAGGAUUAGAUACCCGAGUAGUCCCUGUCUCUUAUAU